GCACCUUCGGGUGUGAAUUAGCGGCGAACGGGUGAGGAACACGUGAGAAAUCUGCCUUCAACACUGGGAUAACUCCGGGAAACCGGGGCUAAUACCGGAUAUGAAACCUGCGGGCAUCCACGGGUUUGGAAAGUUUUUCGGUUGAAGAUGAUCUCGCGGCCUAUCAGCUUGUUGGUGAGGUAAUGGCUCACCAAGGCGACGACGGGUAGCCGGCCUGAGAGGGCGACCGGCCACACUGGGACUGAGACACGGCCCAGACUCCUACGGGAGGCAGCAGUGGGGAAUAUUGGGCAAUGGAGGAAACUCUGACCCAGCGACGCCGCGUGCGGGAUGAAGGCCUUCGGGUUGUAAACCGCUUUCAGCAGGGAAGAAGCGAAAGUGACGGUACCUGCAGAAGAAGCACCGGCUAACUAUGUGCCAGCAGCCGCGGUAAUACAUAGGGUGCAAGCGUUGUCCGGAAUUAUUGGGCGUAAAGAGCUCGUAGGUGGUUCGUCACGU
rnacentral:rRNA from 1 species